GCAUCCCUUCUACCAAAACCCUAUCGGAAUACUCUCGAUGCAUCUAAUUGCUCUCCUCGGUCCUCCGACGGCUAAGCCCUCAGAAACCAUCAGAGGCCAUCUCGAGGACCUCGCCAGCCGUUUUAAGCCCUUAUGCAGAACUGGGCCCUCGGAGAAGACCCUUAGAGGCCGGCACGGGGCCUUCAAAGGCCGGUAUAGGCUUCUAGAUGUUCCCUGGGUUCCAUGAGGUCAGCAGGGGCCUCUUAAGGCCAUCGUUCGUAGGGCCCUGAGGCCAGCGUGGGUUCACCUGUUCGUAUGGGCCUUCAAAGGCCAGCAUGAGACCUCAGAGGUCGGAGUGAGGCCUCUGAGGACGACAUGGAGCCAUCAGGGGCCAGAGCAGGUGUCAUAACUCGAGUUGGGACCUCUUAAAGCUUAGGGCAUCAGCUCUCAACCAGCAAAGGGCCCCUAAGAGAUCGAUAUUGGCUCCGUUAGGGCGACCUGAGGCUCUUAGACCUAUACUGACUGCUGAGGCUUAAAAUGGACCAGCUUAGUCCUUAAUGACCUAAGAACCCGUGAAUCCUGUGAAUGAAAGCCGACGUGAAGCCUCCAAAGACUGCGUGGGAUCCUCAGAAAUCGACCACUUGUAGCUCUUAGAGACCGGCGUAAGGGCACUGACAAGCGUGGCUCCUCAGUUACCACUGACCAGCAUGGCCCCUAGCAGUGUGUGCAGAAGCCUGUAGACUGUAGAGCCUAGAGGUCACCAGAAAUCUCACCAAUGCUCACCAUAAGUUUUUGACAGUAACUUUUGAUGGAGACAUGAUGAUGACAGUGUGAUAAAAACAUCUGCAAUUUGCAAUGCGUUCGGCUCAGCAAAGCAGAUUUAUUUUUAUUUUAUUUGCAGCAAAGCAUGGGUUUUUCGGUCCUCUGGCCACUGUUGUCAAAUCUUUUCUUUCACUGCUAUCAUACGCCUCGCCUCGUAUUCAACGUAAUACUGCCAACAGACCUCUCUUUUGUUGCUUCUGAUAUGGUUUCCUACAUUGAGUGAAGGAAAUUUGCGCUCAUUAACUUUAACGCUGUAGAUACAAAAAGGAAAUCUUCAUCGAAUUUCGAAGGGAAGCCGAACCUGAAGAAUCGUCAAGCUUUGGUGUUCACUGUUCAGGGUGCCGAGUGGUAUAUACAGGUGCAAAAGUUCAUCAAGAAAUGGGGGGGAGUUAACAUUGCUGCCCCCCCCCCCCACCUCCGAAAGUGGGGGGGGGGGCAUGGCCCUCCGGUCGCCCCCUUUCCCCCUGUCCCCACGCCUAUGUAAAACUCAGCUCCGGUUUGUGAGAACAGAAAGGAUGCGACCUCCAGAAAAAAUGAACCUUCAGUGCACAAGGGAUUCCAGAGAAAAACUGUUCGCGUGCGCUCAUACAGGCGACGCCGUCGCCAUCACCAACAGUCUCGCGCUCGGACGCCCAUCGGAUACAGGUGUGUCGGGUCUGGGGGGGGGGGGCUUGCUACGGACGAGGGAACUCGCACACAAGAACUGAAGAGAGGACGGCGGGAAGGUACAGGCCUGUGUGUGUGUGUGGGGGGGGGGUAGUUACAGGGAAAACGUUAGUGCACAGCAACCGCCGCUUCUUAUGGUGCAUCAAAGUAAAUGCGUGGGAAACUGGUAAAAUGUUAUUGAUUUACUCAAAAUACUGAUAAUUGACCUGACCUGUGUGUUCUGGUGUUCAGAUUAAGCUAUAGAAUGUCAAGGGUGACCUGGAGCUGGCCGAGCUGGCUACGGCCGUGGUCCCGAAGGUGGGCGCCGACGGGGAGGGUGACGCGCAGGUCCACCGCCAGUGACAGAAACGUCUAAAAUUUGACCCAGUCCAAUCCCCGUGUCAGGUCGGUAUUUGACCCAGCCCCCACCCCUUGUCAGCUCGGUGUUCGACCCAGCCGUUCCUCCUGUGUCAGCUCAGUGUUUGACCCAGUACCCUGUCUCUUGUCAGAUCGGUAUUAAACCUAACUACUCCCCGUGUCAGCCUGUAUUAACCCAGCUCCACCCCUGUGUGAUGCCAGACGGAGGAGAGUGAGGCGCUGGACGAGCCUGUCUCUUGCCGUGCUGAAGACGCUGCGUCGGAAGACCGCCAGUUCCGGUUGGUGAAUCUGGCUGCUCUGACUCCGUCCAGCUGGCCGACGGGCGAGUGCCUACACAGCAGCUCGCUGGCGCCGCCGUUGCGCGCGCGCGUCCAGACGGCAGUCGGCCCGCGGGCUAGCCUCGCAGCAUCUGUAGUGGCCGUGCUGCGCGGAGGAAUGCAUCCGGGAGCUGCCGGAUGAGGCCGUCUGGAUCUGUUCGGACGGGCCGGCGGAGGAUGGUUUGGCGGCGGUGGCUCCCUGCUCCGCUUACCAGAUGGAGACGACUGGGUUAUACGGGUUCCGGCGGGCCGCUUCUGCUCCAGUGCGCGCGCGGAGCCCACCGCGCCCCCGCCCCGGUCCAAGCCGCUACCAGAUGGAGACGACUGGGACAUAUGGGUCCCGGCGGGCCGCUUCUGCUCCAGUGCGCGCGCGGAGCUCACGGCGCCCCCGCCCCGGUCCGAGUGCUACCAGGGAGAAGGCUGUUACACUUAUCAGCGCUGGUCGGGCCACUGGGGAUGAUCGGGGCAGCAUCUCCACCGGAUUGAAAGAAGGCCAACGUCCGAGUGCGCCCAGUGCAGUCAGCAGUGACACCGAAUGUCCAACAGGCCGCUGCCUGGUCUGCGGCGAAGCAGCAGCCAAUUAGGCGCACGUGUUGCUGGAGUGUCCGUGCUUUUACGGCCUCCGGCUCCGUGCGCGGGGAAACAUCGUCGGCGCGGCCCACGAUGUCGAACGCGACAACAUGGUGGCGAUCGUGGUCGCCGGCUAUGAGGCCCACAAGAGCCUUGUUUUGGCUACGGCGGCAGCUUUGGGGACACCACAACAGCUGACGGCGGCCGCGGCCCCAGAGAUGCGCACCUGCGGGCAGGGCGGCCGCUGAUCUACGUCUCAGCUGUGAGCUGAUUAUACUGAACAGACGGAGGAGACUGAGGCGCUGGACAACGAGUCUGUCUCUGGCCGUACUGAAGACGCUGCGUCGGAAGACCGUCAGUUCUGGUUGGGAAUCUGGCUGCUCUGACUUCGUCCAGCUGGCCGACGAGUGCGUGCCAAGACAGCCGCCGCCGCCGCCGCGCGCGCGCCAAGACGGCCGUCUACCGGCGCCGAUGCCGCCACGCGCACGCUAGACGCCCGUCCACUGGUGCCACCGCCCCACGCGCGCGCACAGUCGGCAGCCGCCGCGUGUGCGUGCCCGCCCAGAAUAUGCGCUCUGCCGCCGUUGACUGCGGCUCGAGAUUCAUGUUCAAGGUUUAGGCAUACACUCAUGUUAAUUGUCUACAUUCAUGAAGGUGCGUGGUGACAAAGAUGCCUCGUCUGUGGCAGCGGAUUUGCUUGUUCCGCCUCAACAUGUGCAAAGUUGUUAUGUAAACUGAUGCGCUCGGCAUUCGCCGUCCGCUCGCGCUGGUGGCGCGCGAACGAAUGACCUGGCCCUGUUCAUGCGGACCUGACGAGCGGCGGUAUGACGCAAUCACAUAGGCGGAUUACCUUUCACCGCGAAGAAAAUCAUUAUCAGCUGGCUUAAAAUUAUGCAAUUGUUUGCCCUCAGUUCGCCAGGUAAUAUCAUUCUUUGAUCAUUCAUGCUGACUUGCGUGGCUGAUAUUUGAUUAUAUAUAGUGUGAAGCGUUCCAUUUUUUUUCUUAUUUCAAAACUCAUCUGUGUAUCUUGCAACAAUAAUCAACCGAGUCUUUUAUGUUCUGCAUAAUUUGGAAGCUGAGCGAGACUUAAGCAAUACAUUUGAAUAAUUCGAACAGUCGA